AGAGUUUGAUCCUGGCUCAGGACGAACGCUGGCGGCGUGCUUAACACAUGCAAGUCGAACGAUGAGGCUGGAGCUUGCUCCGGCGGAUUAGUGGCGAACGGGUGAGUAACACGUGAGUAACCUGCCCUUCACUCUGGGAUAAGCACUGGAAACGGUGUCUAAUACCGGAUAUGACCUCCGGCCGCAUGGCCAGGGGGUGGAAAGAUUUAUCGGUGGUGGAUGGACUCGCGGCCUAUCAGGUAGUUGGUGAGGUAAUGGCUCACCAAGCCUACGACGGGUAGCCGGCCUGAGAGGGUGACCGGCCACACUGGGACUGAGACACGGCCCAGACUCCUACGGGAGGCAGCAGUGGGGAAUAUUGCACAAUGGGCGAAAGCCUGAUGCAGCAACGCCGCGUGAGGGACGACGGCCUUCGGGUUGUAAACCUCUUUUAGUAGGGAAGAAGCGUAAAAGUGACGGUACCUGCAGAAAAAGCACCGGCUAACUACGUGCCAGCAGCCGCGGUAAUACGUAGGGUGCAAGCGUUGUCCGGAAUUAUUGGGCGUAAAGAGCUCGUAGGCGGUUUGUCACGUCUGCUGUGAAAUCUGGGGGCUCAACCCCCAGCCUGCAGUGGGUACGGGCAGACUAGAGUGCGGUAGGGGAGAUUGGAAUUCCUGGUGUAGCGGUGGAAUGCGCAGAUAUCAGGAGGAACACCGAUGGCGAAGGCAGAUCUCUGGGCCGUAACUGACGCUGAGGAGCGAAAGCAUGGGGAGCGAACAGGAUUAGAUACCCUGGUAGUCCAUGCCGUAAACGUUGGGAACUAGAUGUAGGGUCCAUUCCACGGAUUCUGUGUCGCAGCUAACGCAUUAAGUUCCCCGCCUGGGGAGUACGGCCGCAAGGCUAAAACUCAAAGGAAUUGACGGGGGCCCGCACAAGCGGCGGAGCAUGCGGAUUAAUUCGAUGCAACGCGAAGAACCUUACCAAGGCUUGACAUAUACGAGAACACUGCAGAAAUGUAGGACUCUUUGGACACUCGUAUACAGGUGGUGCAUGGUUGUCGUCAGCUCGUGUCGUGAGAUGUUCGGUUAAGUCCGGCAACGAGCGCAACCCUCGUUCUAUGUUGCCAGCACGUUAUGGUGGGAACUCAUAGGAGACUGCCGGGGUCAACUCGGAGGAAGGUGGGGAUGACGUCAAAUCAUCAUGCCCCUUAUGUCUUGGGCUUCACGCAUGCUACAAUGGCCGGUACAAAGGGCUGCAAUACCGUAAGGUGGAGCGAAUCCCAAAAAGCCGGUCUCAGUUCGGAUUGAGGUCUGCAACUCGACCUCAUGAAGUCGGAGUCGCUAGUAAUCGCAGAUCAGCAACGCUGCGGUGAAUACGUUCCCGGGCCUUGUACACACCGCCCGUCAAGUCAUGAAAGUCGGUAACACCCGAAGCCAGUGGCCCAACCGUAAGGAGGGAGCUGUCGAAGGUGGGAUCGGUAAUUAGGACUAAGUCGUAACAAGGUAGCCGUACCGGAAGGUGCGGCUG
rnacentral:rRNA from 1 species